GAUGAACGCUGGCGGCGUGCCUUAGGCAUGCAAGUCGAACGGGUUCCGUAGCAAUACGGAAUCAGUGGCAGACGGGUGAGUAACGCGUAGGAAUCUACCCCUCAAUGGAGCAUAGCCAUCCGAAAGGAUGGGUAAUACUCCGUGGUCUCGCAAGAGUAUAGACCUUAACUGGUCGUUGAGGGAGGAGCCUGCGUCCUAUCAGCUAGUUGGUGGGGUAAUUGCCUACCAAGGCUUUGACGGGUAGCUGGACUGAGAGGUCGAUCAGCCACAACUGCACUGAGACACGGGCAGUACACCUACGGGUGGCAGCAACCAGGAAUAUUUGGCAAUGGACAAAAGUCUGACCAAGCGACGCCGCGUGGAGGAAGAAGGCUCUAGGGUCGUAAACUCCUUUUGAUAGUCCCUUCACAGACUAUAGAAUAAGCCUCUACUAACUACGUGCCAGAAGUCUCGGUAAUACGUAGGAGGCAAGCGUUAUCCGGAUUCAUUGGGCGUAAAGUGUGCGUAGGCGCCUUAUCAAGUCAUACUUGAAAUACUAAGGCUCAACCUUAGGAUUGGGUAUGAUACUGACAAGGUUGAGGAUUGGCAGAGAUGCUGGAACAGCUAGUGUAGCAGUGAAAUGCGUUGAUAUUAGCUGGAACACCAAAGGCGAAAGCAGGCAUCCCGGCUUGUCCUGACGCUGAGGCACGAAAGCUAGGGGAGCGAAACAGAUUAGAUACCUGUGUAGUCCUAGCUGUAAACGAUGUCCGCUAGCUCUUAGCAUUUGCUAGGGGUGUAAGCUAACGCGUUAAGCGGACCGCCUGGGGAGUACGGCCGCAAGGCUAAAACUCAAAGGAAUUGACGGGGACCCGCACAACCGGUGGAGCGUGUGGUUCAAUUCGAGACGAAACGAAGAACCUCACCAGGGCUUGACAUGCUAUCGUACAUUUCCCUAGAAAUAGGGAGAAAUCCGCAAGGAUGAUAGCACAGGUGCUGCAUGGCUGUCGUCAGCUCGUGCCGUGAGGUGUUCCCUUAAGUGGGGAAACGAGCGCAACCCCUGUCUAAUGUUACAUAUUCAUUAGAGACUGCCCCAUUUUUUGGGGAGGAAGGAGGGGAAGACGUCAAGUCAGCACGGCCCUUAUGCCCUGGGCCACACACACACUACAAUGGCGAAGAACAACGAGCCGCAAGCCGGCAACGGCAGGCAAAUCUCUGAAAUUUCGCCUCAGUUCAGAUUGGAGGCUGCAACUCGCCUCCAUGAAGUCGGAAUCGGUAGUAAUCGCGGAUCAGCAAGCCGCGGUGAAUACGUUCUCGGGUCUUGUACACACCGCCCGUCAAGGCAGCAAAGUCGGUAGUUAUCGAAGACCGUG
rnacentral:rRNA from 1 species